GAUGAACGCUGGCGGCGUGCCUAAUACAUGCAAGUCGAGCGAACAGACGAGGAGCUUGCUCUUCUGACGUUAGCGGCGGACGGGUGAGUAACACGUGGAUAACCUACCUAUAAGACUGGGAUAACUUCGGGAAACCGGAGCUAAUACCGGAUAAUAUAUUGAACCGCAUGGUUCAAUAGUGAAAGACGGUCUUGCUGUCACUUAUAGAUGGAUCCGCGCUGCAUUAGCUAGUUGGUAAGGUAACAGCUUACCAAGGCAACGAUGCGUAGCCGACCUGAGAGGGUGAUCGGCCACACUGGAACUGAGACACGGUCCAGACUCCUACGGGAGGCAGCAGUAGGGAAUCUUCCGCAAUGGGCGAAAGCCUGACGGAGCAACGCCGCGUGAGUGAUGAAGGUCUUCGGAUCGUAAAACUCUGUUAUUAGGGAAGAACAAAUGUGUAAGUAACUGUGCACGUCUUGACGGUACCUAAUCAGAAAGCCACGGCUAACUACGUG
rnacentral:rRNA from 1 species